CCUACGGGAGGCAGCAGUGAGGAAUAUUGGUCAAUGGACGAGAGUCUGAACCAGCCAAGUAGCGUGAAGGAUGACUGCCCUAUGGGUUGUAAACUUCUUUUAUAAAGGAAUAAAACGAGGCACGUGUGCCUUUUUGCAUGUACUUUAUGAAUAAGGAUCGGCUAACUCCGUGCCAGCAGCCGCGGUAAUACGGAGGAUCCGAGCGUUAUCCGGAUUUAUUGGGUUUAAAGGGAGCGUAGAUGGGUUGUUAAGUCAGUUGUGAAAGUUUGCGGCUCAACCGUAAAAUUGCAAUUGAUACUGGCAUUCUUGAGUACAUUUGAGGUAGGCGGAAUUCGGGGUGUAGCGGUGAAAUGCUUAGAUAUCACGAAGAACCCCGAUUGAGAAGGCAGCUUACUAACCUGUGACUGACAUUGAUGCUAGAAAGUGUGGGUAUCAAACAGGAUUAGAUACCCCAGUAGUC
rnacentral:rRNA from 1 species